GUGGAAAUCAGUAUGGCGGUUUCUCAGAAAAUUGGGAAUCAAUCGAUCUACAUCAAGACCCAGCCAGACCACUCUUGGGCAUAUACCCAAUGAAUGCUCAAUCAUACCACAAAGACACAUGCUCAACUAUGUACAUAGCAGCACUAUUUAUAGUAGACAAAUCCUGGAAACAAUCUAGCCACCCAUCAACUGAUAAAUGGACAGUGAAAA